CAUAAAUGGCAAUGAUUGAAUGUGGUUCGAAACACUUCCACAUCAGAUAAGGAGAAAUGUCAGCAUGAAGUACACAGUGCUGUUUUUUCCAGUUUGGAUUUGUGCGAUGAUUGAUUGUAGUGGUUCCAUGUCAAGUAGAAAGUGGCCGACUUCAACUUGCAAAUACACCAACUCAAGGACAGUUAUUAUAAAAAACAUGGAGCAGACUGAAGUGAAUGCAGUCAUGAAACAUUUUAAAGGGACACCUCACCACAAAAGCACAGUGUGAUCAAUGCAAGAAAGCAGAAGACCAUGUUCUUAAAGAAAGAAGAAAAUUUAAGUGACUUUGUGAGGAACAGAGGUUUGCAGAUAAAUAAAAGAAAUGUUGGAGUGCAUUUCAACAAAGAAAAGCAAAAACUGCUUUUAAACAGUUAGUUCAUCCAAAAAAUAAAAUUAGCCCAUGGUUUAUUCACCCUUAUGCAAUCCUAGCUGUAUAUGACAUUCUUCGUUCAGACGAACACAUUAAGAGUUAUUUAAAAUUUUCUCUGAGCACUUAAAUACUAUUAUGGAUGUGAAGUGUGGGCCUUGUUGGAACCGUUCCAAUACAUGUCAUGUCUUUUGAAGCGGAUCGAUAGGUUUGUAACAAAUAUUUAUUUUUUAUGAAUUAUGAACUCCAGUUGCUACUUGCGUGUUGGCGACAGAGUCACAUGAACCUAAACAAAUCAAAGAACAAAUUAAAGAUGUCCCAAACUCAGCCAACUUGAAUUUUCGCAAACAAGCAUACAGACAUUAGCUGUGUUUCCAUCCAAAAAUGCGGAUGAACUUUAUGCGCAAAACUGGAUUAACGCAUUAAAAACAUGCAAAUAAAGCAGCGUUUCCAUCCAACGAGUUAAAGCAAACAAAAUCGUCACUUCCUGAUUAACUGGCGCCAAAUAUCAACAGUAAAAACUGAAUUUGCUGUGGUAAGAGAAGCUGCGUCAAUCUUUUCUUCAUCUAAUAAAUGACACGGAGCACGGACGCUCUUAUUUCUUGAGGUCAUUAAUAAUAUAAUAACACUAAUACUUAAACGGUUAGGUGUUUUAGAAUGACCAAAACAACAGUUCAGAUGGUUUACAGUGUGCUGCUGAUUUCUCCAUUUACGCACAUUUUCAUCAUCACAUGAUCUCUUAUAACAAAAUCACAUGACCUUUAUUAAUGCGCACACUGGAAUUUGUGCGGUAAAAGUGUUUCCAUCGUAGUUUAUGUGCAUCUUUUCUUAUCGAAUAAAAAGUUUAUCCUACUCAGUUAUGCGCAUACGUUUUUUAUGCGCAUUUUCAAAAUUUAUGCGCAAUAUGGCGUUUCCAUCCACUGUUUAUUAUGCACAUAUGCAAAAUGCACAUAAAAAUAGGUGCAUGGAAACAAAGCUAAUGACAGAUUCAAAAAUCCAUUGAUCUGCUUCAAAAGACACAUUAACCUCCCGGAUGCGUAUGGGUUCGUUUCACGACAGAUAUUUGUGCUUUUUCAAGGUUUAAAAAGGGGUCACAAUUCACUACCAAUAUAAUGUUUGAAAGUGCCCAGAAAAAUUCUAAAUAACUCUUAAUGUAUUCAUCUGAAAGAAGAAUGUCAUGUACACU